rnacentral:pre_miRNA from 1 species
GAUUUCAACUGAAAAAGUCAUCAAUAACAAAGUUGUAUAACCUAUCAAGAUCUAUAACUUUUAUUUUGGUCAUUUCUUCAUCCGACAAAGCGAUAGUAACAUUGUUUACAAAAUUUACAUAUCUCACAUAUGGUUUCAUAAGUUAUAAGAGAGAUAUGUAAAUUUUAUGAACAAUGUUACUAUGGCUUUAUUAGAUGAAGAAAUGACCAAAAUAAAAGUUGUAGCUCUUGAUGAGUUCUACAACUGAGCUACAACUUUUAAGUUCAUGACUUUUUCAGCUGAAAUU